rnacentral:rRNA from 1 species
CAGUAGCCGCGGUAAAACGUAGGGUGCGAGCGUUAAUCGGAAUUACUGGGCGUAAAGCGUGCGCAGGCGGUUUUGUAAGACAGGCGUGAAAUCCCCGGGCUCAACCUGGGAAUGGCGCUUGUGACUGCAAAGCUAGAGUGCGGCAGAGGGGGAUGGAAUUCCGCGUGUAGCAGUGAAAUGCGUAGAUAUGCGGAGGAACACCGAUGGCGAAGGCAAUCCCCUGGGCCUGCACUGACGCUCAUGCACGAAAGCGUGGGGAGCAAACAGGAUUAGAUACCCGCGUAGUCCCUGUCUCUUAUAC